UACGGAGGGUGCAAGCAUUAAUCGGAAUUAUUGGGCGUAAAGGGCGCGUAGGCGGAUUUGUAAGUCAGAUGUGAAAUUCCGGAGCUCAACUUCGGAGCUGCAUUUGAAACUGUGAAUCUAGAGGGAUGGCGGAGAAAAUGGAAUUCCACGUGUAGCGGUGAAAUGCGUAGAUAUGUGGAAGAACAUCUGUGGCGAAAGCGGUUUUCUAGCUAUUACCUGACGCUGAGGCGCGAGAGCAAGGGGAGCAAACAGG
rnacentral:rRNA from 1 species